CCAGCAGCCGCGGUAAUUCCAGCUCCAGUAGCGUAUAUUAAAGUUGUUGCAGUUAAAAAGCUCGUAGUUGGACUUUGGAGACCCGCCGCCGGUCCGCCUGCGGGUGAGUACUGGCGGGACGGGCCUCUUCCGCCUGGCGAGCGUCGUCGGCUUAACUGUCGACGGCGGGACCCUGGCCUUUUACUUUGAAAAAAUCAGAGUGUUCCAAGCAGGCCUGUGCCUGAAUAGAUUAGCAUGGAAUAAUGAAAUAGGACUUUGGUUCUAUUUUGUUGGUUUCUAGGACCGAGGUAAUGAUUAAUAGGGAUAGUUGGGGGCAUUAAUAUUUAAUUGUCAGAGGUGAAAUU
rnacentral:rRNA from 1 species